CGCACAUUGCGCCCUCUGGUAUUCCAGAGGGCAUGCCUGUCCGAGCGUCAUUACCUAUGCUCAAGCCUGGCUUGGUCUUGGGUCCCGUCGGCUCUGGCUGGACGGACCCGAAAGGAAAUGACCGACCCUGAAUAGGCCCCGGAUGCAGCGAGCUUCCAGCACGCGUCUCGACGGUCUUCAGGGUCUGGCUCAACCGUGAAUCUUCUUGAUUGACCUCGGAUCAGGUAGGGAUACCCGCUGAACUUAA
rnacentral:misc_RNA from 1 species